rnacentral:rRNA from 1 species
UACGUAGGGUGCGAGCGUUGUCCGGAAUUAUUGGGCGUAAAGGGAUUGUAGGCGGUUCGUCACGUCGAAAGUGAAAACUCAGGGCUCAACCCUGAGCCUGCUUUCGAUACGGGCGGACUAGAGGUAUGCAGGGGAGAACGGAAUUCCUGGUGGAGCGGUGGAAUGCGCAGAUAUCGGGAAGAACACCCGUGGCGAAGGCGGCUCUCUGGGACGGUACUGACGCUGAGACGCGAAAGCGUGGGGAGCGAACAGG